rnacentral:rRNA from 1 species
CCCUUAGAUGUUCUGGGCCGCACGCGUGCUACACUGAGUGGAUCAACGGGUCAGGUUGCGCGAAAGUGUUUCCUAAUCUUUAAAUCCGCUCGUGAUGGGGAUUGACGGUUGCAAUUUUCCGUCAUGAACGAGGAAUACCUUGUAAGCGCGGGUCAUCAUCCCGCGCUGAAUACGUCCCUGCCCUUUGUACACACCGCCCGUCGCUCCUACCGAUUGAGUGGUCCGGUGAGGCUUUGGGAUCUGAGCGGAAAGAGUGUUUCGCUGUUUCUGCCCGGAAAACUCAGUCGAACCUUAUCAUUUAGAGGAAGGAGAAGUCGUAACA